GAUGGUCAACCUUCCCACACCUGAGAAUAAAUUCUGGCUCCACAAAAGCAAGGAAUGAAGACUGUAUCCCCAAAGGACUACCUGACAUUUGCAUACCCUAAAAGCAGAAAUUUUGCACUUUGCAACCUAACAUGCACUAUUUUGGAAGUGACAGCAGUGAUAUGACUAUAAUUUCUACCAGGAGGCUCACAGUUCAUACCCCUUGGAAGCUCACUAGAGUUAGAGGGCUCACAUCCUGGAAAAUAGAGGUUUGCAGAGCAACUUUAUCAAGAGUAACAUUAUCAAGAGCUUUCCUGCAAGCUUCUUUAUCAUAUUCACAUCCGUGUCUGCUCGACACUUGUCACUGUCAAUCAAAUCGCAAUAAUACGCAGAUGAUUUGCUCAUUUGGUUUAAUAAAAUCUCUCUGCUUAUUUGCACUGCAGUCAUUAUGCCACAUAAUUGCUCCGCCGCCGAGGUGA
rnacentral:lncRNA from 1 species